GACGAACGCUGGCGGCGUGCUUAACACAUGCAAGUCGAACGGAAAGGCCCUGCUUUUGUGGGGUGCUCGAGUGGCGAACGGGUGAGUAACACGUGAGUAACCUGCCCUUGACUUUGGGAUAACUUCAGGAAACUGGGGCUAAUACCGGAUAGGAGCUCCUGCUGCAUGGUGGGGGUUGGAAAGUUUCGGCGGUUGGGGAUGGACUCGCGGCUUAUCAGCUUGUUGGUGGGGUAGUGGCUUACCAAGGCUUUGACGGGUAGCCGGCCUGAGAGGGUGAACGGCCACAUUGGGACUGAGAUACGGACCAGACUCCUACGGGAGGCAGCAGUGGGGAAUAUUGCACAAUGGGCGGAAGCCUGAUGCAGCAACGCCGCGUGCGGGAUGAAGGCCUUCGGGUUGUAAACCGCUUUCGCCUGUGACGAAGCGUGAGUGACGGUAAUGGGUAAAGAAGCACCGGCUAACUACGUG
rnacentral:rRNA from 1 species